UACGUAGGGAGCAAGCGUUGUCCGGAAUCAUUGGGCGUAAAGCGCGCGUAGGCGGCCCUGUAAGUCCGUUGUGAAAGUCAAAGGCUCAACCUUUGAAAGCCGAUGGAUACUGCAGGGCUAGAGUCCGGAAGAGGCGAGUGGAAUUCCUGGUGUAGCGGUGGAAUGCGCAGAUAUCAGGAGGAACACCGGUGGCGAAGGCGGCUCUCUGGACGGUGACUGACGCUAAGACGCGAAAGCGUGGGGAGCAAACAGG
rnacentral:rRNA from 1 species